UACGAAGGGGGCUAGCGUUGCUCGGAAUUACUGGGCGUAAAGCGCACGUAGGCGGUCUUUUAAGUCGGGGGUGAAAUCCUGGAGCUCAACUCCAGAACUGCCUUCGAUACUGGAAGACUUGAGUCCGGGAGAGGUGAGUGGAACUGCGAGUGUAGAGGUGAAAUUCGUAGAUAUUCGGAAGAACACCAGUGGCGAAGGCGGCGAUCUGGGAAGAUACUGACGCUGAGGUGCGAAAGCGUGGGGAGCAAACAGGG
rnacentral:rRNA from 1 species